UACGAAGGGGGCUAGCGUUGCUCGGAAUUACUGGGCGUAAAGGGAGCGUAGGCGGACAUUUAAGUCAGGGGUGAAAUCCCGAGGCUCAACCUCGGAACUGCCGUUGAUACUGGAUGUCUUGAGUGUGAGAGAGGUAUGUGGAACUCCGAGUGUAGAGGUGAAAUUCGUAGAUAUUCGGAAGAACACCAGUGGCGAAGGCGACAUACUGGCUCAUUACUGACGCUGAGGCUCGAAAGCGUGGGGAGCAAACAGG
rnacentral:rRNA from 1 species